rnacentral:rRNA from 1 species
UUGGCUCGAGUGGCGAACGGGUGAGUAACACGUGAGUAACCUGCCCUUGACUUUGGGAUAACUUCAGGAAACUGGGGCUAAUACCGGAUAGGAGCUCCUGCUGCAUGGUGGGGGUUGGAAAGUUUCGGCGGUUGGGGAUGGACUCGCGGCUUAUCAGCUUGUUGGUGGGGUAGUGGCUUACCAAGGCUUCGACGGGUAGCCGGCCUGAGAGGGUGACCGGCCACAUUGGGACUGAGAUACGGCCCAG